UACAGCCUGGUACAUCUAUCAAGAA
rnacentral:piRNA from 1 species